CGGGUGAGUAAUGUCUGGGAAACUGCCUGAUGGAGGGGGAUAACUACUGGAAACGGUAGCUAAUACCGCAUAAUGUCGCAAGACCAAAGAGGGGGACCUUCGGGCCUCUUGCCAUCGGAUGUGCCCAGAUGGGAUUAGCUAGUAGGUGGGGUAACGGCUCACCUAGGCGACGAUCCCUAGCUGGUCUGAGAGGAUGACCAGCCACACUGGAACUGAGACACGGUCCAG
rnacentral:rRNA from 1 species